UACGAAGGGGGCUAGCGUUGUUCGGAAUUACUGGGCGUAAAGGGCGCGUAGGCGGCCGAUCAAGUCAGAUGUGAAAGUCCUGGGCUUAACCUGGGGACUGCAUUUGAUACUGAUUGGCUUGAAUUCGGGAGAGGAUAGCGGAAUUCCCAGUGCAGAGGUGAAAUUCGUAGAUAUUGGGAAGAACACCGGUGGCGAAGGCGGCUAUCUGGACCGACAUUGACGCUGAGGCGCGAAAGCGUGGGGAGCAAACAGG
rnacentral:rRNA from 1 species